AAUGAGUAGAAAUUGAGUAUAUAUAUAUAUAUAAUAACCCCUAGAUGUGUUAAAAAUUUCUCAUUUUUAAAAUAUAAUAACGUUCAUCAUUUGCUAAUAUAUAGUAAUUAAAUUAAAAAUGGCAGCUUAUGGAGCUAUAUUCAUGUUGCUAGCAACAAUUUUAAUGGUUUUGGCACCAAGUGUUAUGUCAUAUUGUGCUGAACUUGGACGUCAAUGUGACGGUGAUCCUAUUAAAUGCUGUAACAAUCGUCAUUGUGAACGAACACCAGGACAACGUUGGGGUUUAUGUCGAUAAAUAUAAAAUAAUAUUAUAUGAAUAAAAAUGUUCAACAUAAUUUUCUGAACACCAAAAAAUAUUAUAUAAGGUAAAAGCACCAGUACCUGGACGCUAUUGAAGGGGUUUAAAAUUUAUUUGUGUUUUGUACUAAGAUAAUUCAAUAUAAUUUAUAAAAUGUU